rnacentral:lncRNA from 1 species
AGGAGCUUGUUUUUGCUCGCAACCGAUCUCAUCCAUGAAAGUGUGGAUGAGCUGCCCAGCCAAGCUUGGUGGGUCAUCAAUAAAAGCAUCAACAAAGACGCUCACCACCCUUCUUUCUUGCAUAGUCGCUUUCAGGCUGAACCAAGUGAGAAACUUAACUCUGAAAUGUUCAUCUAUGUGCCCUUUGUGCUCUAACCAUUUGACUACCCUCACAGAAUAAUCAUAAUCACUCUCUUCUGGUUUCUUUUCACAACAGGAAGCCAGUUUCUGACGCAUUCCAUCAGAUUUACAAGGUGUAGAAGGGGAUAUUGACUUGGGGCUCAAUAAAGGAGGUGGAAGUGAGUAGAGCCCUUCAUGCUUACUCUUCUUAACAUUAGCCAGUGAUAAUGAAAGGUUUGCACGGC